rnacentral:lncRNA from 1 species
AUGCAUAUUUUUCUAAACCAAAAUACUGCUUAUUUUCGUAGUGUAUAUUUUGAAAUAAUGACUGGUCAAAGAGGAGUAUCAAUGCAUUUGAAGGAGCAAAGUGUGAAAGAUUUCAGCAGGAAGAAGCUUGAUCUCAGGAAAUUGAUGUAUUCCACGUUGGAUACUGCACUGCACCUCCAGUUUAGACAGAAGAGGAGUUGUGUUAGCAAAUGCUCAACCAAAUGUAAAAACAUUGCUAAAGUAAUGGACUCCAACAAAGAUCCGAUUUUACUUUGGGGGAGAAAAUUGAUCUUCAGAAAAGUGAAUUGGAGCUGCAGCUUUCCUGCUGUGGGAGAACCCAGGCUAUGUGGGACGUGUUCAGGCUUUUGUUGUUUUUGUUGUUGCCAUGAUAAAAGAAGAGCAGCAUUACAUGAAGGAAGUGCAGUUAAACCAGACUUGAGAAAUUCCAUGCUUUAAGAACAUGACAUCAAGAAACUUUUCCAAUUAUGCUUUGAAAUGGAUAGUGGUAAGUAUAACUAUUAUUUCAUAUCAGGUACAAAUUACAGAAGAAAAUACAGGGUAUUUUUGCAGAGAGAAAUAGAAAUGUUAGAUAUUACUGUGUCGUGCAGAAUCUGUUAAACAAAAGCAAUCAGUUGUGUUAGAGAGUGAUAAUAUAGGAAAAGGUUUAGAUGUGGUUUUGCAACAUAGAUACCACAAACAAUAUCUGUUAACAAAAAACAAAAAGGGAAAAUCCUUUCUUAAUUGUUUUUAAUUUUUCAUGAGCAC